rnacentral:rRNA from 2 species
UCUGGUAAUGAUGGCAGAGAGGCCACACCCGUUCCCAUACCGAACACGGAAGUUAAGCUCUCUAGCGCCGAUGGUAGUUGGGACCUUGUCCCU